ACCAAUAAUAAGACUACAGCAUACUAAAUGACACAAGAUGUUCUUUCUCUAUUACCUCUUACAUUUGACAUAAAAGUAGGAAAAGGUUUAACAGUCUAUGCCUACAACAUAGAUCUCCAGGACUAAAAGUACACAAAAUGGCAAUCAGUAUAUCACAAGUGUAAUAACACAUGCAUCUAAUCUGCUUCAGUGGCGAGAACUGGGUGAAUCCUCUCAAACAUUAAUCAGGAACUAGGCAUACCUAAUGAGCGUCAAGCUGAUACAGUAGAUGUACAGAAAAGUUUAUACACCAGGUAAAUAUUGAUAAAUUUU